GCAAUCUGAAUCUGCGAACGGCUCCGCAUACCAGUUGUAAACGAUAGCGAGCCAGGCCUAGGAUUGCCCGCCUUCGGGUGGUCUUUUCUAGGUCUGGAUACGGAUAACCUUGGUAAUUCUUAGGCUAAUACGAUAAGUUUACCACCUAGCGCUACCGGGCAACCGGGAACGUUAGGGGUCGUGCGAAGCUUCUGCUACGCUCGGUUGGGUGAUUCCGUACACGAUCAGACCGCUACACCAAACUCAGGUGGCUCAGCCAGUACCUUCGGGGAACGCUGGGCCAUUUGGGGGCGGCUCUCGCUCGUGCCUCUGACCUAUCAACUGCACAGCAGCUUAUAGGACAUGCUAUGGUUACUACGGGUACAGAGGAUAAGGGUUCGAUCCUGGAGAGUGGGCCUGAGAGAUU
rnacentral:rRNA from 1 species